UACGUAGGGCGCAAGCGUUAUCCGGAAUUAUUGGGCGUAAAGAGCUUGUAGGCGGUUUGUCGCGUCUGCUGUGAAAAUCCGGGGCUCAACCCCGGACUUGCAGUGGGUACGGGCAGACUAGAGUGUGGUAGGGGAGACUGGAAUUCCUGGUGUAGCGGUGAAAUGCGCAGAUAUCAGGAGGAACACCAGCGGCGAAGGCGGCGCUCUGGGCCGGAACUGACGCUGAGGAGCGAAAGCGUGGGUAGCAAACAGG
rnacentral:rRNA from 1 species